AUUGAACGCUGGCGGCAGGCCUAACAAAUGCAAGUCGAACGAGUGGCGGACGGGUGAGUAAUGUCUGGGAAACUGCACGAGGGAGGGGGAUAACUACUGGAAACGGUAGCUAAUACCGCAUACCAUCGGAUGUGCCCAGAUGGGAUUAGCUAGUAGGUGGGGUAACGGCUCACCUAGGCGACGAUCCCUAGCUGGUCUGAGAGGAUGACCAGCCAAACUGGAACUGUGACACGGCCCAGACUCAUACGUGAGGCAGCAGUGGGGAAUAUUGCACAAUGGGCGCAAGCCUGAUGCAGCAAUGCCGCGUGUAUGAAGAAGGCCUUCGGGUUGUAAAGGACUUGCAGCGAGGAGGCGUUACUCGCAGAAGAAGCACCGGCUAACUCCGUGCCAGCAGCCGCGGUAAUUC
rnacentral:rRNA from 1 species